GUGCCAGCAGUCGCGGUCAUACUCUUUGUUACUAAAUAUAAUUUAAUUUUAAGGUUUUAUUAGUUUAAUUAAUUAUUCUUAAGUGAAACUAUAAUAUGUAUUUUUAAUGCCUAAAAUUGUAAUUUUAUAAGAAAAUAGGAUUAGAAACCCUAGUAUCAUAAGCAUACAUUAAAGUAGUAUCGGAUUUUCCUUAAACUUAAUUCUUCUGGCGGUUUACUACACUUUUAGAGGAAUUUGCUUUUCUAAUCGAUAACCCGCUCUUAUUUUUUCCAUUUUUAAUUUUAUGUACGGCUGUUUAGUAAUAAGGUAAAUCUUGUUACUUUAAAACUUACUUUUUAUUUCAGGUCAAUGUAUAGAGCAUAAAAUGGAGAAGAGUGAAUUACCUUCCUUAGAGGUUUAAAUUAUACUAGAUUGUAAAAUGGAUUUACUAGUAAAUCAAUAAUUGAAUUUUUA
rnacentral:rRNA from 5 species